CGGCAGUUUUGACCUGCUGGAUCGGUUGUGCAGAGAAGAGGCGGCGCGCCGGAAGGCUACUGUAUAGCAAUAAACAAGCAGUAAUCAAAACUUAACUUCAGGGAAAUCAUCCGUGUUCGCAGUUUAGGUUUCAGCGCAGGACGUGUAUAGGUGUCUGCAAAGUGAUUUCUGAGGAACAGAGGACUUGCAAACAUUUGUUUAUGCGUGCGAAGUAAGCGUUUUGGCCUUGUCAACUUGGCUAACGUUAGCUAACAUUAGGCCCAGCUAGCGCUAGCCGUGGGGCUUACUUUUCGCUAGCCAAAGCAAAACAAGGAAUGAGUGAUGACCUCUGUGGUAGUGUCAGAUGGAGGAGGGAACAUUGUGGAGUAUGUCACUGUGGUGGAGGAGCCCCAGCAGUGUGAGCAGCAUCCUGGUGAGGAGGAGGAUGAGGAGG